rnacentral:rRNA from 1 species
AUUGAACGCUGGCGGAAUGCUUUACACAUGCAAGUCGAACGGUAGAGGGGGCAACCCCUCGAGAGUGGCGAACGGGUGAGUAAUAUAUCGGAACGUGCCCAGUCGUGGGGGAUAACGUAGCGAAAGUUACGCUAAUACCGCAUACGAUCUAAGGAGGAAAGCGGGGGAUCGCAAGACCUCGCGCGAUUGGAGCGGCAGAUAUCAGAUUAGGUAGUUGGUGGGGUAAAGGCUCACCAAGCCAACGAUCUGUAGCUGGUCUGAGAGGACGACCAGCCACACUGGAACUGAGACACGGUCCAGACUCCUACGGGAGGCAGCAGUGGGGAAUUUUGGACAAUGGACGCAAGUCUGAUCCAGCCAUUCCGCGUGCAGGAUGAAGGCCCUCGGGUUGUAAACUGCUUUUGUACGGAACGAAAAGGUCUCUCUUAAUACGGGGGACUCAUGGCGGUACCGUAAGAAUAAGCACCGGCUAACUACGUGCCAGCCGCCGCUGUAA